ensembl:lncRNA
CGAGAUGUGCAGCGGACGAUUAAAGAGGACAUUGACAUCCAUAGAGGUGAGUCAUACACAUUGAUGGAAGCGAUGGCUGUUUUGUGUCAUCUGUGUCAUGUUUGCACUUUGUUCGGGUUCUUUGCAUGUCUAACUCUUUGCUUUGACACACUCUGUCCUUGAGGUGUUGGCUGUUUAGCAUCUGGGUCACGUUUGGACUUUAUCCUGGUCACUUGUCUGCGUCAUUCAUGGCUUUGACAUAAAUUGAAGACAUGGGACUUUGAUUGUUUGCUGAUGUCGCCAUUUUCUUUGUUUUACAUGCCGAGAGACCGAGAUGUGCAGCGGAUGAUUAAAGAGGACAUUGACAUCCAUAGAGGUGAGUCACACACAUUGAUGGAAGCGAUGGCUGUUUUGUGUCAUCUGUGUCAUGUUUGCACUUUGUUCGGGUUCUUUGCAUGUCUAACUCUUUGCUUUGACACACUCUGUCCUUGAGGUGUUGGCUGUUUUCCAUCUGGGUCACGUUUGGACUUAAUGCUGGUCACUCGUCUGCGUCAUUCAUGGCUUUGACAUAAAUUGAAGACAUGGGACUUUGAUUGUUUGCUGAUGUCGCCAUUUUCUUUGUUUCUUUUACAUGCCGAGAGACCGAGAUGUGCAGUGGACGAUUAAAGAGGACGUUGACAUCCAUAGAGGUGAGUCAUACACAUUUACGGAAGCGAUGGCCGUUUUGUGUCGUCUGUGUCAUGUUUGCACUUUGUUCGGGUUCUUUGCAUGUCUAACUCUUUGCUUUGACACACUCUGUCCUUGAGGUGUUGGCUGUUUUCCAUCUGGGUCACAUUUGGACUUAAUCCUGGUCACUUGUCUGCGUCAUUCAUGGCUUUGACAUAAAUUGAAGACAUGGGACUUUGAUUGUUUGCUGAUGUUGCCUUUUUCUUUGUUUGUUUUACAUGUCGAGAGACGAGAUGUGCAGUGGACGAUUAAAGAGGACAUUGACAUCCAUAGAGGUGAGUCAUACACAUUGACAGAAGCGAUGGUUGUUUUGUGUUGUCUGUCAUGUUUGCACUUUGUUCGGGUUCUUUGCAUGUCUAACUCUUUGCUUUGACACACUCUGUCCUUGAGGUGUUGGCUGUUUAGCAUCUGGGUCACGUUUGGACUUUAUCCUGGUCACUUGUCUGUGUCAUUCAUGGCUUUGACAUAAAUUGAAGACAUGGGACUUUGAUUGUUUGCUGAUGUCGCCAUUUUCUCUGUUUCUUUUACAUGCCGAGAGACGAGAUCUGCAGUGGACGAUUAAAGACGACGUUGACAUCCAUAGAGGUGAGUUUGUUCUUUUCUCACACUUUGCUAUUUUUCUACUUUCCUCUUUUCUCACACUUUGCUAUUUUCACACUUUGUUCUUUUUCCUCUUUUCUCACACUUUGCUAUUUUCACACUUUGUUCUUUUUCCUCUUUCCUCACACUUUGUUCUUUUUCCUCUUUCCUCACACUUUGCUAUUUUCACACUUUGUUUUUUUUCCAUACUUUGUUCUUUUUCCUCUUUUUUCACACUUUGCUAUUUUCACACUUU